GAUGAACGCUGGCGGCGUGCCUAAUACAUGCAAGUCGAGCGAACAGAUGAGGAGCUUGCUCCUCUGACGUUAGCGGCGGACGGGUGAGUAACACGUGGAUAACCUACCUAUAAGACUGGGAUAACUUCGGGAAACCGGAGCUAAUACCGGAUAAUAUAUUGAACCGCAUGGUUCAAUAGUGAAAUACGGCUUUGCUGUCACUUAUAGAUGGAUCCGCGCCGCAUUAGCUAGUUGGUAAGGUAACGGCUUACCAAGGCGACGAUGCGUAGCCGACCUGAGAGGGUGAUCGGCCACACUGGAACUGAGACACGGUCCAGACUCCUACGGGAGGCAGCAGUAGGGAAUCUUCCGCAAUGGGCGAAAGCCUGACGGAGCAACGCCGCGUGAGUGAUGAAGGUCUUCGGAUCGUAAAACUCUGUUAUUAGGGAAGAACAAAUGUGUAAGUAACUAUGCACGUCUUGACGGUACCUAAUCAGAAAGCCACGGCUAACUACGUG
rnacentral:rRNA from 1 species